GACGAACGCUGGCGGCGCGCCUAACACAUGCAAGUCGAACGGAGCUGAGAGAAGCUUGCUUUUCUUAGCUUAGUGGCGCACGGGUGAGUAACGCGUGAGUAACCUGCCCUGGAGUGGGGGACAACAGUUGGAGACGACUGCUAAUACCGCAUAAGCCCACGAUCCGGCAUCGGGUUGAGGGAAAAGGAUUUAUUCGCUUCAGGAUGGACUCGCGUCCAAUUAGCUAGUUGGUGAGGUAACGGCCCACCAAGGCGACGAUUGGUAGCCGGACGGAGAGGUUGAACGGCCACAUUUGGACUGAGACACGGCCCAGACUCCUACGGGAGGCAGCAGUGGGGGAUAUUGCACAAUGGGGGAAACCCUGAUGCAGCGACGCCGCGUGGAGGAAGAAGGUUUUCGGAUUGUAAAUUCCUGUCGUUAGGGACGAUAAUGACGGUACCUAACAAGAAAGCACCGGCUAACUACGUG
rnacentral:rRNA from 1 species